AUCCCAUUCCCCAUGUAGAAUGGGAAGCUGAGUUGGGAAUAAUUCAUUCAUCAAGAAGCUACUACCAACUAGAGGUAGUACUGAAAGGAACAGCAUACAACUUCUUCAUGCUUUAGAUUGAAAAAAAUUUUUUUCCCAAGAAACUUUUUGUACUAAUCUUCAUGAAAUCCUCAGGCAAAGGGAAUCGGUCAUCCACAGUGAGGAGGUAGAAAUAGCAGGAAAAAAUUGGUGUCUUUUUAAAUACUAAACUGUAAGUGAAGUAGGUUGUCUGCAUUUUAUUUAUUUAGGUAAGGACUGGCUUAGAAUUAAGGUAAUGCUUAAUGUCUUUUUCUUUAUUCAUUUCAGUUAUUAAGCACCAAUCAGUUAUUGCACCGUAUGUUGACAGGCAUUGGGCAAAGGAUCAGUGAUAUCAAGAUAAAAGACAAAACAUUUCUUCCCUCAAAUUAUUCACAAAAACGGAGAACAAAGAAAAGAAGAUGCAGUCACUCUCCUGUGUUAUUGAACGUUCCUGACCUCCUGGCUCCUAAGAGGCAGCAAGGCAUGUUGGCAUGGCUUCUCUAUUCACUUUAGCACAAAAGGAGUGCACAUUCCAAUGGUCUAAUUGGCAGUGCUCAACUUGUCAGGUAAGAUUUCCUCCCUCAAUGUUAUCCAGGUAAAGUGGGUCUGAGAAUCAAGAA
rnacentral:lncRNA from 1 species